UACCAGCACCCCGAGUGGUCGGGACGUUUAUUGGGCCUAAAGCAUCCGUAGCCGGUUCUACAAGUCUUCCGUUAAAUACCAACUGCUUAACAGGUGGGCUGCGGAAGAUACUAUAGAGCUAGGAGGCGGGAGAGGCAAGCGGUACUCGAUGGGUAGGGGUAAAAUCCGUUGAUCCAUUGAAGACCACCAGUGGCGAAGGCGGCUUGCCAGAACGCGCUCGACGGUGAGGGAUGAAAGCUGGGGGAGCAAACCGG
rnacentral:rRNA from 1 species